UACGUAGGGUGCAAGCGUUAAUCGGAAUUACUGGGCGUAAAGCGUGCGCAGGCGGUUUUGUAAGUCUGUCGUGAAAGCCCCGGGCUCAACCUGGGAAUUGCGAUGGAGACUGCAAGGCUUGAAUCUGGCAGAGGGGGGUAGAAUUCCACGUGUAGCAGUGAAAAUGCGUAGAGAUGUGGAGGAACACCGAUGGCGAAGGCAGCCCCCCUGGGUCAAGAUUGACGCUCAUGCACGAAAGCGUGGGGAGCAAACAGG
rnacentral:rRNA from 1 species